GCUGCAGCUUCACUUGUUCUUCCAAGACCUGUCACCAAGUCAGCGUACAGAAAUGACAUCGGAAGAAGAGGGCUAUUGACCUUGCUCAUAUCCACAGCAACUGUUCCUGAAGUCACAGAUCCAAAGAAGGCUCUUCUCCAAGGUAUCGCUCAUGCUUGUUUGCAUCUAUCUUUCAAGCUCUCACUGAUCCAUUGUGUCUGUUGCCAGAGUACCUGAAGAGAUCCAAGGAGAACAAGGCCAAGAAUGACAAAGAGGUUAUCCUUUUCAUCCCUUGCUUACACACUGCAAACAAGAUUUUAGGUUUCAGAAAUCUAUGAGCUGGGAGUUGAUAGGUUUCCGUUUUCUCAGAGGC
rnacentral:lncRNA from 1 species